AGAAGACACAAAAAAUUUAUUAUCACACAUUUUGAGAACUUGUUGCAUAUAAGAUGACAUAACAGAAAGGAUUAUUUAGAAAAGUAAAUGAAUACAGAUAAAGAUUUAGAUAAAUCAACAACAAACUUAUCUCUCGCUGUAAAUCUUCAUAACAAAAAGUUUUUAAUGAUAGGCUAUACCUUCUCUAGCAUACUUCUUUUGAUUUGUGCAAAAGGUUGCAGGUCCUUGCUUGCAAAUCUUCCAAGUGAAACAACAUCCAUAGAGUAUGGGUGCUAAAAAUCACAGCUUUUACCUCAAGAAUGUCAAGCAAGGCUUACCUCAAAAACUAUUGUAAGGAAAAUCUGUGUACUUGAUAAUCUUUGAAAAAUGGAAAAAUCUAGUCGGGAUUUGUUUGUGUUGAUUCUUCACUUUUUAAUGGCCUAUCUGAGCUAUUCAUGCUAGAGGAUUCUGAGGAAGUGUAGGAAUAGGAUUCAACUUUUGUUGCUGCUUUUGAUACAAAACCAUUUGUGCUGCAAGACCUUGUGGAGCUCUCAGGCUCUAACAGAGUAGCAUUCAUAAAAGGAGGUUGAUUUGGGAGAGGAAUCACACUAUGAUCACUACUAUUUAGCAUCCCCACCACUUCAGCCAUGGAUGGUCUUAAGGAAACUGAAGCCUGUGUGCAUAAGAGGCCGAUUUGAAGCACCCGGGAUGCCUCCUGUACUGGAAAAUCAUCUCUGAGACAAGGAUCAACGGCUUCUUCCAAUCUAUUUGUCCUGUAAAGUAGCCAUACCUGAGGCCAAAAGGUAAGAAAUCUAUCACAUUAUCAAACAGAAUAAAUGUUCCACUAUUGCUUUUAUAUGGACUAGUAGUUUGAUAAAAAGAGAUUUGCACAAGAAAGACUUGAGAUCAUACUGUUUGCAGAAGUGACCUGGAGUCCUCUAUGAAAGAGUUACACCUUUUACCCAUUACAAUCUCAAGAACCAGUACUCCAAAACUGUAAACAUCAGCUUUGUGGGUCAAAUAACCCCAUAAUGCAUAUUCUGGUGCCAUAUAUCCACUGCAAUGAUUUAAUAAUUUGAAGACUUUAGCAUAUGCCAUCAUAGAUUGACUACAAUCUAGUAAUAAGUCCAACACAACAGGGAAUGAGAGGAAAAGAGGUGCUUUUGUUCAAUACGGUAACUGAUAAUGCUUGAACAAUGAAAUGAUCUGACUCACUUUCAAGAGCUUAUGAGUUACGCCUAACAUAUAUAUGAUAUUGCAUUUUGUGCUCUACAAACAAAUUUGAAAAGCAAAGGAGAAAAAAAUGAGAAUCUACCACAAAAAUUAUGCAACAGAAGUUAGUUGACCUAGAAUGAAGAGAACUCAAAAAUUAAAUAGAGAAAAAGAAGAAAUGUGAGCUCACAUGGUUCCAGCAACUCUUGUGCUGAUGUGGGUGUUCUCCUUUUCAUCAAGCUUAGCCAAAACAAAAUCAGAAAUCUUAGGAUUCAUGUCCUUAUCAAGCAAUAUGUUAGUAGUUUUGAUGUCUAUAUGACCAACUUUUAGAGGGGAUUCUUCAUGCAGGAAAGCCAGACCUUUUGCUAUGCCAACACAAAUCCUUUGCCUUGUAGGCCAAUCCAGUUUCAACUUGCUUUCCUCUGUGCCAAACAAUGCAUGUGCCAGGCUGUUGUUUUCCAUGAACUCAUAUACCAACAAUAAUUGAUUCCCUUCAACACAGCAUCCAUACAAUCUAACAAGAUUUGGAUGUUGUAAAGCAGAAAUCAUGCCUAUUUCAUUCAAAAAUUCUCUAUUUCCCUGUUUUGAUUUGGAAGAAAGUUGCUUAACAGCAAUUAUGGUACCAUCUGAUAGUGUUCCCUUGUAAACCGAUCCAAAACCACCUUCUCCAAUCUUAUUUGCUGGGUUGAAAUUUCCGGUUGCCUUAUAAAUCUCUUCAAUGGAGAAAUUGACUGUCCCAAACAGUCCACUUGUGGUGCUUGAAGAGCCAUAGGAACUAGAGAAUUUGAAUCUUGAAGAACUCUUACUGUUGCUUCCUGUUGAAAGAUCAUUUGAAAAGGAAAUCCCUUCAACUUGACUGUUGUAUGUUUUGCCUGGCCCAGUUACCGCUCCGGCUGCCUUUUUUCUCCGGAAACGCAAAAUUGUGAAAAUUCCAGCUACCUUUUUGAUAUAGUUGAAGACAGGACGAGUUCGAGGUCUGCCAUGGUCAUUGUUUGUGUAAGAAUUCUGUUUUCUUUGGCUUGACUGAAGGAUAUAGGUACUCGAUGCGUUCUUCAUUUGCAGAGAUAUGGCUUGUUGUGUGGAUUAUGUCCUUUGCUUAAACUUGUAAGUAAUUGGGGAUUUCGUUGUUUCCAUGUCGCUGAUUUUUGUUUAAUGUUUUUCCAGGACUAAUUCAAGCUCAGGCGCGUCAGUGCUUGUCCUGGAGGAAAGUUUAUCAAUCGCAGCAGAAUUUUAUAUUGAAAUUACCAAGUCAACCGGGUACAGACAA
rnacentral:misc_RNA from 1 species